UGAAGUAGCUUCAACAACCCCUAAACCGCUACUCUGAAUAUCUCUGCUCCAAUUACGUGUGUAGACAAUAGGAAGAGGAGGAGGAAGAAGAAAGCAGCUGCGGACGAAAAAGAUUCAACCAUCUCUGCUCCGAUUCCGCAGGUGAAGUAGCAAAAGCUUUUUUGAGUUCUGCUGCUUCACGGCUGCUACGGAGUCUCCGGGGCUGUUCAAAGUGAACCGACGGAACCAAGGUUUCUUCGCAAUCCAAAAAGCUUGGAGGCAGAACGCUGCCGGAACACUGCUUCAGCCACGUCGGAACGCUGCCGGAUGCUGCUGGAACGCUGCUUUAGCCACGCUGGAAAACAGCCUUCAGAAGAGUGCAUCAUCAUGAGGCCGGAGAGAGGAGCGACGAGGGCGGCGAUGAACAAAGGAUGAGAGAAGGGAGAAAGAAGAAGAGACGAGCAGAAAUUCGUCGCUUUACGAUUCAGAUUGAAACUCCAAUAUUCCCAUCACAAUUCCCAUCAGGGCUCUUUCGUUUUCUUCUCCACAUAAGCGAGCAGUGUUCAUUGGGUUUCAGAGUUUCGGAUCGUUUUCUUCUUCACAUGAGCGAGCAACGUUCAUAGGGUUUCAGGGUUUUGGAUGUCUUUAGCGUUCUUAGUGUUUCAGAUGUUUUGGGAUCAUCCAAUUCUCCCCACUGCAAAUUUUAAUUAGUUGGAUUGGAUUUCCGAAUUCAGAUGGGUGAAGGGUUUUGUGCUACUGCAGUGACGAAAACUUUCACCUAUUCUUUAUUUUGAUUUCCCUUCUGUUUUCCCUCAUUCUCACA